GCUGAUGGACGAAAGCGUGGGUAGCGAACGGGAUUAGAUACCCCGGUAGUCCACGCCGUAAACGAUGGAUACUAGCUGUCGGGCCUUCGGGCUCGGCGGCCAAGCGAAAGUGAUAAGUAUCCCACCUGGGGAGUACGUUCGCAAGAAUGAAACUCAAAGGAAUUGACGGGGGCCCGCACAAGCGGUGGAGCAUGUGGUUUAAUUCGAUGAUACGCGAGGAACCUUACCAGGGCUUAAAUGCGGGCUGCAUGGGACAGAGACGUCCCUUUCUUCGGACCGCCCGCAAGGUGCUGCAUGGUUGUCGUCAGCUCGUGCCGUGAGGUGUCAGGUUAAGUCCUAUAACGAGCGCAACCCCUACCGUUAGUUGCCAGCAUGUAAAGAUGGGGACUCUAACGGGACUGCCGGUGCAAACCGUGAGGAAGGUGGGGACGACGUCAAAUCAUCACGGCCCUUACGUCCUGGGCCACACACGUGCUACAAUGGCCGGUACAGAGGGAAGCCACCCCGCAAGGGGGCGCGGAUCUACAAAGCCGGUCACAGUUCGGAUCGGGGUCUGCAACUCGACCCCGUGAAGCUGGAAUCGCUAGUAAUCGGAUAUCAGCCAUGAUCCGGUGAAUACGUUCCCGGGCCUUGUACACACCGCCCGUCAAGCCAUGGAAGCCGGGAGUGCCUGAAGUCCGUGACCGCAAGGAGCGGCCUAGGGCAAAAUCGGUAA
rnacentral:rRNA from 1 species